rnacentral:rRNA from 1 species
UACGAAGGGGGCUAGCGUUGUUCGGAUUUACUGGGCGUAAAGCGCACGUAGGCGGACUAUUAAGUCAGGGGUGAAAUCCCGGGGCUCAACCCCCGGAACUGCCUUUGAUACUGGUAGUCUUGAGUUCGAGAGAGGUGAGUGGAAUUCCGAGUGUAGAGGUGAAAUUCGUAGAUAUUCGGAGGAACACCAGUGGCGAAGGCGGCUCACUGGCUCGAUACUGACGCUAAAAUGCGAAAGCGUGGGGAGCAAACAGG